rnacentral:tmRNA from 1 species
GGGGUUGAAUGGAAUCGACAUCAAGCAAACGGUAAUCUUGCGAUCCGUAGUUGAUCUGGGCUACGUUAAAACAUGAUCAAACUUUAUUCGGAAACGAAGAACUUAUUGCGGCCUAACCAAGGCUAGCUCUGAAGCGGAUGACUCCUAUAUUCCGUGGAAGAUCGACUAUAGGAUAGACUGUUAGAACUGGUUUGGUAUAACAGCGACACAAACAGACCAAAUAUUUCCUUGAGGAUUUCAAGUUAUCCUAGGAAAUAAUUUUUUAACUUGAUAUGAUCGUAGAUGGGUUAUGGUGACCUUUGGAUGGACCCGAGUUCGAAUCUCGGCAACUCCAUUA